AUUGAACGCUGGCGGCAUGCCUUACACAUGCAAGUCGAACGGUAACAGGUCUUCGGAUGCUGACGAGUGGCGAACGGGUGAGUAAUACAUCGGAACGUGCCUAGUAGUGGGGGAUAACUACUCGAAAGAGGGGCUAAUACCGCAUGAGAUCUACGGAUGAAAGCAGGGGAUCGCAAGACCUUGUGCUACUAGAGCGGCCGAUGGCAGAUUAGGUAGUUGGUGGGAUAAAAGCUUACCAAGCCGACGAGCUGUAGCUGGUCUGAGAGGACGAUCAGCGACACUGGGACUGAGACACGGCCCAGACUCCUACGGGAGGCAGCAGUUGGGAAUUUUGGACAAUGGGCGCAAGCCUGAUCCAGCAAUGCCGCGUGCAGGAUGAAGGCCUUCGGGUUGUAAACUGCUUUUGUACGGAACGAAAAGCCCCGGGUUAAUACCCUGGGGUCAUGACGGUACCGUAAGAAUAAGCACCGGCUAACUACGUGCCAGCCGCCGCAGUAA
rnacentral:rRNA from 1 species